UCCUGGCUCAGCGCCUGCAAGGACCCCUCGCUCCACUCCACGUUCGAUCUCGAUAAUCAGUUCGACUCUUCAUCUGAGUCGUCUAGCUGGUGGACGCCCGAAUUCGAGAAGAAGAAUCGAUUCCAUGCUUCGUUCCGUCGUCGAUUGGAGCGAUGGCUAUAUCACCGAGAUCCGCGUUAGACACUGCUCAGAUCGCUCCCUCAAUUUUGUGGCAGAAAGGUGUCCAAAUCUUCAAGUUCUCUCAAUCAAGAGCUGCCCAAAUGCUACUGAUGCGUCAAUGGUUCAGAUUUCCUUCAAGUGCACCAAACUUAGGGAGCUUGACAUCAGUUAUUGCAACGAGAUAUCUCAUGAAUCUCUGGAGAUGAUAGGCAGAAAUUGCCCCAAUCUUAAGGUUCUAAAGCGAAACCUCAUGAACUGGUUAGAUCCUUCCCAACAUGUUGGAAUUGUCCCUAACGAUUACUUAAAUGCUUGUCCUCAAGAUGGGGAUUUAGAGGCAGCUGCAAUUUCCCAUUUUAUGCCUCAUUUGGAGCAUCUUGAACUUCGGUUCUCCAAGUUAUCAGCGAAAGGGCUUGCAUCAAUUUGUGAAGGGUGUUUGAAUCUUGAGUACUUGGAUCUAUCUGGGUGUGCAAAUUUGACGAGUCGGGAUAUCAUCAACAAGACUUCUGGUUUGAAAUAUUUGAAGGAGAUUAAAAAGCCAAAUUUCUACAUCCCAAGGUCUGUCUUCCACACUGAAAGAUAUGGCCAUUGGAGGCUUUAUGAUGAGCGAUUCCAGACGGAUGUUUUCCGAAUUUGAUCAGGUGAUUGUAAUUUUUGCAAGUUAUUAUAUAGAAACUUAGAAAGACAAUAUUUUUCAUAUGUCUGGAUGGUGGGUUGCGCAGCUAAUAACUGCUUAUAUUUGCCAUAACUGACAGCAUGUCUCAUGGUGCUGGACUCUGGGUGUUUGGCUUCCUUCAUGUUUGCUGAGUUGGUGGAUGUGUUUACUAUAUGCAUUCUUGUAAGCUGUCCUAGAAUA
rnacentral:misc_RNA from 1 species